CCUACGGGAGGCAGCAGUGAGGAAUCUUGGUCAAUGGACGAGAGUCUGAACCAGCCAAGUAGCGUGAAGGAUGACUGCCCUAUGGGUUGUAAACUUCGUUUAUAGAGGAAUAAAACGAGGCACGUGUGCCUUUUUGCAUGUACUUUAUGAAUAAGGAUCGGCUAACUCCGUGCCAGCAGCCGCGGUAAUACGGAGGAUCCGAGCGUUAUCCGGAUUGAUUGGGUUUAAAGGGAGCGUAGAUGGGUUGUUAAGUCAGUUGUGAAAGUUUGCGGCUCAACCGUAAAAUUGCAAUUGAUACUGGCAGUCUUGAGUACAGUUGAGGUAGGUGGAAUUCGAGGUGUAGCGGUGAAAUGCUUAGAGAUCACGAAGAACCCCGAUGGCGAAGGCAGCUUACUAAACUGUGACUGACAUUGAUGCUCGAAAGUGUGGGUAUCAAACAGGAUUAGAUACCCCAGUAGUC
rnacentral:rRNA from 1 species